rnacentral:rRNA from 1 species
CAGUAGCCGCGGUAAAACGGAGGGGGCUAGCGUUGUUCGGAAUUACUGGGCGUAAAGCGCACGUAGGCGGCUUUGUAAGUUAGAGGUGAAAGCCCGGAGCUCAACUCCGGAAUUGCCUUUAAGACUGCAGAGCUAGCAGGUGAGAGAGGUGAGUGGAAUUCCGAGUGUAGAGGUGAAAUUCGUAGAUAUUCGGAAGAACACCAGUGGCGAAGGCGGCUCACUGGCUCAUACUGGACGCUGAGGUGCGAAAGCGUGGGGAGCAAACAGGAUUAGAUACCCGAGUAGUCCCUGUCUCUUAUAC